rnacentral:lncRNA from 1 species
CGAGUUGAUACAGUAGGAAAGUUUUUACAUGUUAUUGAAGACACAUUUCUGAAUCUGGAUGUAAGAACUGCCAACAGAUUUACGCCAAGAAGGAUUGAUGAAGGGAAAGGUGAACCUUCUACAGGUGGUCUAUCAUAAAGUGCAAAAAGAUCCCGUAACCGGUGAAUAACUUGGUAAGCAAUUACAAGCUCAAUCAAACCAUCUUGCAGUUGAAGGGCACGUUCAUCCGAACUUGCAUGACCAAUGAUUGCUGCAGCAGUCCAAAGGAAACCAUCCAGAAUUUCAGAGAUUAACUCCAAUCUGUCAGUUGAUGUCUUACAGGUAACCAGGUUGGCAGAAGCAGAGCCAUU